rnacentral:rRNA from 1 species
CCUACGGGCGGCAGCAGUGGGGAAUAUUGGACAAUGGGGGCAACCCUGAUCCAGCCAUGCCGCGUGUGUGAAGAAGGCCCUCGGGUUGUAAAGCACUUUCAGUGAGGAAGAACGCCUGGUGGUUAAUACCCAUCAGGAAAGACAUCACUCACAGAAGAAGCACCGGCUAACUCCGUGCCAGCAGCCGCGGUAAUACGGAGGGUGCGAGCGUUAAUCGGAAUUACUGGGCGUAAAGCGCGCGUAGGUGGCUUGAUAAGCCGGUUGUGAAAGCCCCGGGCUCAACCUGGGAACGGCAUCCGGAACUGUCAAGCUAGAGUGCAGGAGAGGAAGGUAGAAUUCCCGGUGUAGCGGUGAAAUGCGUAGAGAUCGGGAGGAAUACCAGUGGCGAAGGCGGCCUUCUGGACUGACACUGACACUGAGGUGCGAAAGCGUGGGUAGCAAACAGGAUUAGAUACCCCGGUAGUC